rnacentral:miRNA from 1 species
UGACAGUCACUGAUGCCUCCACCC